rnacentral:rRNA from 1 species
AUUGAACGCUGGCGGCAGGCCUAACACAUGCAAGUCGAGCGAGCGGCGGACGGGUGAGUAAUGUCUGGGAAUCUGCCUGAUGGAGGGGGAUAACUACUGGAAACGGUCGCUAAUACCGCAUACCAUCAGAUGAACCCAGAUGGGAUUAGCUUGUAGGUGGGUUAACGGCUCACCUAGGCGACGAUCCCUAGCUGGUCUGAGAGGAUGAUCAGCCACACUGUGACUGAGACACGGCCCAGACUCCUACGGGAGGCAGUAGUGGGGAAUAUUGCACAAUGGGCGCAAGCCUGAUGCAGCCAUGCCGCGUGUAUGAAGAAGGCCUUCGGGUUGUAAAGUACUUUCAGCCGGGAGGCGUUACCCGCAGAAGAAGCACCGGCUAACUCCGUGCCAGCAGCCGCGGUAAUUC